ensembl:lncRNA
GGGCGCCUGGGAAAUAUCCUGUGCGCGUCUCUAUUAUGAUCGAGUGUAAAUGAGGGCCGCCGGCAGGCUGGAAACUAGCUACUGCGGUAGCAGUUGCUCUCUGAAGCCGCAAGGUAGGGGCGAUCGUCUGCCGCUGCCAGGAGAGCGGACGAUGCGGAGGCAGCCAUAUUUUUAUGAGUCUAGCCAGGAAUCCAGGUACUAAAUGCACAAAGCUGGAAACCAGAUCCCUGAGCAAUCAUCUAAGAAGUCUGAUCACCUGAAUAGACCACAUGGAGAGACUGUGGGAGCACAUGAAGAGAGGUGGGCAGGGGGAACCCAGCUGCAUCCAACAAUCCAGAAAUCCCUAUCAAGAUGCUAGACAUGAAGGAAACCAUCUUGGAUCCACCAGAUCAACCUAGCCACCAGCUGGAUACCACUGAGAGAUGCCAGUGGAGCAGAAUUGUCCAAUAAGCCUUGCCCAAAUUUCUCACCCACACAAUCAUGAGUAUAAUAAAAUGAUUAUUGUUUUCAGC